rnacentral:rRNA from 1 species
GCCCGAUCGUGGGGGAUAACGAGGCGAAAGCUUUGCUAAUACCGCAUACGAUCUACGGAUGAAAGCGGGGGAUCUUCGGACCUCGCGCGGACGGAGCGGCCGAUGGCAGAUUAGGUAGUUGGUGGGAUAAAAGCUUACCAAGCCGACGAUCUGUAGCUGGUCUGAGAGGAUGAUCAGCCACACUGGGACUGAGACACGGCCCAGACUCCUACGGGAGGCAGCAGUGGGGAAUUUUGGACAAUGGGCGAAAGCCUGAUCCAGCCAUGCCGCGUGCAGGAUGAAGGCCUUCGGGUUGUAAACUGCUUUUGUACGGAACGAAAAGCCUCUUUCUAAUAAAGAGGGGUCAUGACGGUACCGUAAGAAUAAGCACCGGCUAACUACGUGCCAGCAGCCGCGGUAAUACGUAUGGUGCAAGCGUUAAUCGGAAUUACUGGGCGUAAAGCGUGCGCAGGCGGUUUUGUAAGACAGAGGUGAAAUCCCCGGGCUCAAACCUGGGAACUGCCUUUGUGACUGCAAGGCUGGAGUGCG